rnacentral:tRNA from 1 species
GGAAAUGUGCCCGAAUGACAAGGAUUACUUUGAUAGAGUAAAAUAUAGGGAUUAACCUCCCUCAUUUCUU